rnacentral:lncRNA from 1 species
CACCGCCAUAGUUUCUGAAGCAGAUCAUUUCAUUUGGUGUUGAUUCUUUCUGUCUAUAUGCCUUUAAAAAACGAAGACAAACAUCUGAAAGAUAUUUGGAUACUCGCGUCUUCUCAUCGACUAAAUUCAAUUCUGUACAUAGCAGAGAAAAUAAGUUUUAAUGCAGCUUAUCGCGUUGAAUUAAACAGAACACCGAAUAAGGGGAUUCGAAUUAUCGCGGUUGUAUUUGUUUUUCAGCAUAGAAUAAAAUUGCAUUUUUAACAUAAACAAUCCAGACAAAUUUUUGUUUCAAAAGUUAAAAGUUUAGUGAAUUUUUGACUUUUGAAAUAACAUCAAAAUACUUUUGAAAGUACAGUAUAGAGUAAAUAAAAAUAAUUAUUAAAUCAUCUAUAUUUUAUCUAUUGUUUGUCUUAUUUACUAUAUAUUACAAUCUCU